ACAACAAGAUGCUUAAAGAACGGAAGCAUGAAACUGCGGGCAUUGCAUUGCAUGGCAGUGCAAGCGAGCUAGCAAUAAUGAUGCCAACACGUUUGUGUCGCUAUCUCACACUGCUUUAUCCGAAUAGGCGAAUUCGCCGCAUACAAUAAGCAAAACAAACUACUACUCUCCAGCGAAUCGCAGCGAAUGUUUAUUUGUUGCACACAACGACUUUUGGGUGGGUGGUUGGAGCGGAGAGCAAGACUCAAAUGAGUAGCAUUUCGCAAUGGUCGCUCCACAUGGCGAUCCCAGCACCGAGAAGAAAAGAGAGAGCGCUCUUGUUUUGGUUUUUAUGCUUGCCGCAAGAAAUCAUAUUCUACUCAGAGAGGGCGAGAGAGAGAGAGAGUGAGAGCUUGCCAAGCGAAUUGAAUGCCAUGCUUUCCGGCAUCGCUAGUUGUCAGUUUGGUUCCGACCGUUACAACGUGAAGUUAAGCGCACGGUGAUUUUUGUGCGUCGUUUUGUCGUCGUCGCCGUCGUUGUUUACAGUUGUUUUGUUACACAGCGCGUCGUCAUUAACGUCGUUUCUUUUUUGUGGUCGUACCACAUAAAAUUCUGCUACUUGGGGCAAAGUGCCGUUAAAGGCUCGAAAGGCGGCAAAUUAAAAGCAAACAAAAUUCCAUUUUGUUUGGGUUUUUUGGGGCAAGAGAUUAAAAGUCAACAAACGCGUCAGCUUAUCCGAAACUGAGCUUCAAUAUUAAAGCAGCAACAACAACACAACAGCAGCAGAAGAAAUGCGAGCAAAAACAAAGCGCGCUAAAUGUGAGAACAAAGCGUUAUAAAAGACGCGGGCGGUUGUUCGUCACUGUUGCUCUCGCAGCUUAGGCUUGUCCACCAGCCUAUUGUUGUUGUUGUACUACUGCACACGUCGGAAAUGAUUACGUUGGUUAUAUGGAAGAGAUGUGGGAAGUGGGGACAAGGCAAGGCGGUUAGCGGCAUUUGAGUCUUCGUCUCCGUCUUCGUCAUAGUCAUCGUCAUCAACUCAUGUUGCAUAUGGGUCUCAUGUGUGCUGCAUGAUACGGUUGGAUUUUUACCCCAACUGUUUGCCAAGCGGCGAAAAUGGUUGAGCUCACUUCUCUCUCGUUUCUUACUCUGUCUCUCUCUCUCUCUGAGUGCGCUGAAAUGUGGUUAUCCUGGUGAGAGCGAGUUUGUAUGAGUUUUUCGGCGAACUUGCAACUUUUGCGCUGCUCUUCGCUUUGGGCAGCGCUUCAGCGCUCCUGCGAUUUCAGUUGACAAAAGUUCCUUGCGCUGUACGGACCUUCAAUUCUUGACGUUUGUCGUAAUUGCUGUCGUAAUAUCGUCACGCGCUGUUACUUUGGUCGAGCCGUCUUUGUGUACGUGCGAGUGAAAGAGUGACUCAAGUAUAUAUGUAUUUUAGUAUAUAAAUCAUAUCGGAUUUAUUGAGGAAGAAAAUGUGCUUAACUUAAAUUAAAUUAGUGAGCAAAUAU